ACCACCUAAUGAUAUUCAGUUU
rnacentral:miRNA from 1 species